rnacentral:misc_RNA from 1 species
UUGAAGACUAGCUCAAAGACCAUUAGCAAGCUGGCGCAUCCAAAUGCGCCCCUUGGAUACGGCCUUUGCUUUUUGAACCUUGCAUUUGAUGGAUUUACAAAUGCAACUCAGGAUUCACUGACUGCAAGGUAUCCGAAGACAACUGCCUGGGACAUAAUGCUGGGAAUGAAUUUAUGGGGUACUAUAUAUAAUAUGCUCUACAUGUUUGGGUGGCCACAGGGCAUUGGAUUUGAGGCAGUUCGAUUCUGUAAGCAGCACCCUGAGGCAGCUUGGGACAUUUUUCUCUAUUGCCUCUGUGGUGCAGUGGGGCAGAAUUUCAUAUUUUUAACUAUAAGCCGAUUUGGCUCUCUCGCUAACACGACCAUCACUACGACCCGCAAAUUUGUAAGCAUCGUGGUGUCUUCACUGUUGAGCGGCAAUCCUUUGUCAACUAAACAAUGGGGCUGUGUAGUCAUGGUCUUUUCAGGGUUGUCAUACCAAAUCUAUCUCAAGUGGAAGAAGUUGCAGAAACUGCAAAAGAAGAGAAAGGCUGCAUGAAGA